rnacentral:tRNA from 1 species
GGACUGUAGCUCAGUGGUAGAGCACUUGCCUAGCAUGUGUGAGGCACUGAGUUCAAUCCUCAGCACCA